GAUGAACGCUGGCGGCGUGCCUAAUACAUGCAAGUCGAGCGAACAGACGAGGAGCUUGCUCCUCUAACGUUAGCGGCGGACGGGUGAGUAACACGUGGAUAACCUACCUAUAAGACUGGGAUAACUUCGGGAAACCGGAGCUAAUACCGGAUAAUGUAUUGAACCGCAUGGUUCAAUAGUGAAAGACGGUUUUGCUGUCACUUAUAGAUGGAUCCGCGCCGCAUUAGCUAGUUGGUAAGGUAACAGCUUACCAAGGCAACGAUGCGUAGCCGACCUGAGAGGGUGAUCGGCCACACUGGAACUGAGACACGGUCCAGACUCCUACGGGAGGCAGCAGUAGGGAAUCUUCCGCAAUGGGCGAAAGCCUGACGGAGCAACGCCGCGUGAGUGAUGAAGGUCUUCGGAUCGUAAAACUCUGUUAUUAGGGAAGAACAAAUGUGUAAGUAGCUAUGCACGUCUUGACGGUACCUAAUCAGAAAGCCACGGCUAACUACGUGCCAGCAGCCGCGGUAAUACGUAGGUGGCAAGCGUUAUCCGGAAUUAUUGGGCGUAAAGCGCGCGUAGGCGGUUUUUUAAGUCUGAUGUGAAAGCCCACGGCUCAACCGUGGAGGGUCAUUGGAAACUGGAAAACUUGAGUGCAGAAGAGGAAAGUGGAAUUCCAUGUGUAGCGGUGAAAUGCGCAGAGAUAUGGAGGAACACCAGUGGCGAAGGCGACUUUCUGGUCUGUAACUGACGCUGAUGUGCGAAAGCGUGGGGAUCAAACAGGAUUAGAUACCCUGGUAGUCCACGCCGUAAACGAUGAGUGCUAAGUGUUAGGGGGUUUCCGCCCCUUAGUGCUGCAGCUAACGCAUUAAGCACUCCGCCUGGGGAGUACGACCGCAAGGUUGAAACUCAAAGGAAUUGACGGGGACCCGCACAAGCGGUGGAGCAUGUGGUUUAAUUCGAAGCAACGCGAAGAACCUUACCAAAUCUUGACAUCCUCUGACCCCUCUAGAGAUAGAGUUUUCCCCUUCGGGGGACAGAGUGACAGGUGGUGCAUGGUUGUCGUCAGCUCGUGUCGUGAGAUGUUGGGUUAAGUCCCGCAACGAGCGCAACCCUUAAGCUUAGUUGCCAUCAUUAAGUUGGGCACUCUAAGUUGACUGCCGGUGACAAACCGGAGGAAGGUGGGGAUGACGUCAAAUCAUCAUGCCCCUUAUGAUUUGGGCUACACACGUGCUACAAUGGACAAUACAAAGGGUAGCGAAACCGCGAGGUCAAGCAAAUCCCAUAAAGUUGUUCUCAGUUCGGAUUGUAGUCUGCAACUCGACUAUAUGAAGCUGGAAUCGCUAGUAAUCGUAGAUCAGCAUGCUACGGUGAAUACGUUCCCGGGUCU
rnacentral:rRNA from 1 species